rnacentral:rRNA from 1 species
UGGGGAAUAUUGGACAAUGGGCGCAAGCCUGAUCCAGCCAUGCCGCGUGAGUGAUGAAGGCCCUAGGGUUGUAAAGCUCUUUCACCGGUGAAGAUAAUGACGGUAACCGGAGAAGAAGCCCCGGCUAACUUCGUGCCAGCAGCCGCGGUAAUACGAAGGGGGCUAGCGUUGUUCGGAUUUACUGGGCGUAAAGCGCACGUAGGCGGACUUUUAAGUCAGGGGUGAAAUCCCGGGGCUCAACCCCGGAACUGCCUUUGAUACUGGAAGUCUUGAGUAUGGUAGAGGUGAGUGGAAUUCCGAGUGUAGAGGUGAAAUUCGUAGAUAUUCGGAGGAACACCAAUGGCGAAGGCGGCUCACUGGACCAUUACUGACGCUGAGGUGCGAAAGCGUGGGGAGCAAACAGG